UUCGGUGUGGUCUAGUGCCUAGGAUACCUAGCUCUCACCCAGGAGGCUCGGGUUCGAUUCCCGGCACCGGAA
rnacentral:tRNA from 1 species